rnacentral:rRNA from 1 species
CCUACGGGUGGCAGCAGUGGGGAAUAUUGGGCAAUGGGCGCAAGCCUGACCCAGCAACGCCGCGUGAAGGAAGAAGGCUUUCGGGUUGUAAACUUCUUUUCGUAGGGACGAAGAAAGUGACGGUACCUCAGGAAUAAGCCACGGCUAACGACGUGCCAGCAGCCGCGGUAAUACGUCGGUCGCAAGCGUUAUCCGGAUUUAGUGGGUGUAAAGGGUGUGUAGGCGGGAAAGCAAGUCAGAUGUGAAGACUCAGGGCUCAACCCUGGGCCUGCAUUUGAAACUGUUUUUCUUGAGUGCUGGAGAGGCAAUCGGAAUGCCGUGUGUAGCGGUGAAAUGCGUAGAUAUACGGAGGAACACCAGUGGCGAAGGCGGAUUGCUGGACAGUAACUGACGCUGAGGCGCGAAAGCGUGGGGAGCAAACAGGAUUAGAUACCCCUGUAGUC